UUUUCUUUCUGGCUUGUCUUGCAGUACCCAUCAGGAGCAAUUCUUAAAGUGCAGGGCCUUUGAACAGCCCCACGACACAGUGCAGUCAAGCUAUGGAUGCAGAGGACAAUCCCCAUGGCUGUCACCAAGGAUGGGAAUUUUAAACAAGAUUUAAGAGGAGAGGAAGGAAGGAAGAAAAGAAUGAUGCUUAUUCCCAGGGACAGAUUCCCAAUGGAAUUUCAGGGAUCUUCAAAGCGCUUCCGCGGCACCUGCGGCGCUGGACCUGGAGCCGCCCCUGCCCGCAGCCCAGCAGCUCCGCAGCUCCUGCCUUCCGCGGAGGAGGAGCCGCUGCGGGUGAUUUAGGGCCGGGCGGUUCCGCUGGCGGCCGCCAAGGUACCUAUUAUCACUCAGGCCGGCCUAGAUUUCAGAAAUUCUUCUCCGACGUUGCUCCCUCGGGGAAGCACCGGGAUACCACCUUGGAAGAAAACCGGGGAGCCACACUUAGGAGGGGCGAAAAGGCCUCUGUGUCUCUGCCCUACCAUACCCAGGCCCUCCUCUUGCCACUGGAUUAGUAUGGGACACCAGUCCAGGCUCUGCUGCUUCAUGCUGUCAUUCAACAACAGGAGACAACAAUUAGUAUGAACCCAACGCUUUCUGCAUGCCUUGCUAAGUACACACUCUACCUAUACUUCUGUCGCCACCCCAACUGCCAACAACAAAACUGUUUUCAGAGGAUGUGGGUUCGAUUCCCAGGACCCACAAGGCAGCUAGCUCACAACUCCAAAGCCAGGGUAUUGGAAGCCCUCUUCUGAACUACCCUGAAUCUCAUCGUACAUACAGGCAAAAACACCCAUACAAAAAAUAAAAUAAUCGUUUUUAAAACUUUAAAAA